rnacentral:rRNA from 1 species
UACGGAGGAUCCAAGCGUUAUCCGGAUUUAUUGGGUUUAAAGGGUGCGUAGGCGGCCUAUUAAGUCAGGGGUGAAAGACGGUAGCUUAACUAUCGCAGUGCCUUUGAUACUGAUGGGCUUGAAUAUACUUGAGGUAGGCGGAAUGUGACAAGUAGCGGUGAAAUGCAUAGAUAUGUCACAGAACACCAAUUGAGAAGGCAGCUUACUAAAGUAUGAUUGAAGAGGAGGAACGAAAGCGUGGGGAUCAAACAGG